CAUAUACUCCCUCCAUCCCAAAAUUUGUGUCGUAGAUUUGUCUAAAUACGAAUGUAUCAAGUCAUGUUUUAGUAUUAGAUACAUCCGUAUCUAGACGAAUCUAAGACAUUUUGGGACGGAGAGAGUAUGUG
rfam:Triticum aestivum genome assembly, contig: Triticum_aestivum_CS42_TGACv1_scaffold_502658_6BL